AUGGCGCUAGUGUCGCCUUUGUUGUUACAUCGUGAAACGAGGCGAAAAAGACGAAACAAAUUAUAGCUAAUUAAUACUUAUAUUCCUGUGAUAUCAAAUACCAAAUUGAACUUCGUAUCUUAUAUGCAUACUGUCAGUCAUUCCAACAAGUUGACUUAGCGCUGAGUCCAUUUCUAUCCAUUAGAUCCUCAUGCAGUCAAAAGCCUAAAACUCAUGUUUGAAGCACCCAUAUUUUGGAAUACAAAUGUGUAGAGAUAAGGUAUUCUUGAACCAUAGCCCAUAGGAUCUUUUCUGAAUCUCACAAUUUUGGUGGCGUACCCUGUAACAGCAUGUUUGUUGUUGUUGAUGUUUUUACUUCUUUUUAGAAGGCAACCCAGCUAAGAGAUAGAGUUUCAGUGACAUGAAGAGUGUGAAGUGAACCACCUAUCACCAUGCUACUGCAAUACUUCAUGACACUUUCUUGAGUAUCAGGAAAUUCAUCUCAACAUGUGAAGUUCUAAUGCUGUUGGUUGCAGUGAAUUCCAUUUUUACGGUUUUUUCAUCAUGAACAAUUCAGUGUUAUCUUAGAAAAGAGCACGCAGUUUCUAUAUAAAAACGUGUGGUCCUGGCACGGGAUCUCUUGUCCCAAUGCUGACCUUUGCCCAUGACGGAAGAGGGACUUCCAUCAGCGUUCUUCUCCAUCCUUAUCUUCGUGACGCACGCUCUAGCUUCACUGCUUCUAAACUCAAUUUGCUUUACUUUACUGGCGACUUGGCGAUUUUCUGGAUCACUUCAGUGAUCGCUUCCGUCCGCUGUUACACACCUUAGUCACUCACCACGGGAUUAUGCCCAGGUAAUGCAGAGGAAACAUCGAGAAGAUGGACACCAAAACGUCACCGGUAUCACCAAAAUGUCGGCGUGGAUCAUCAUUUGUUGUUGGUAAUAUGUUUGUGUCAGUGUUAGUUAACCCGUUGGCUGCCACGCCUUUGUUCUCCUCUAGUUCCUUAGCACGGGUCGCGCUGUUCGGUCUCGUGGUUUACAAGCCGCGGGUUCGGAGAGUCGCCAAGCCCAAAACUUGCCGCAAGGCGCCUGUUUCAGGCAAUGCACCCCCUCUCCCCCCUUGUCGAUACGGUGAUGGGCCUUCUCCUGUCACCGUGUCAGCCCGGACUUGUCAGCAAUGGCAAGUCCCACUUGGUCAUGGGUCCUUCAGAC